rnacentral:rRNA from 1 species
AUGCGAGUCGAGCGGGGUUUUCGGACCUAGCGGCGGACGGGUGAGUAAUGCGUAGGAAGCUGCCCGAUAGAGGGGGAUACCAGUUGGAAACGACUGUUAAUACCGCAUAAUGUCUACGGACCAAAGUGUGGGACCUUCGGGCCACAUGCUAUCGGAUGCGCCUACGUGGGAUUAGCUAGUUGGUGAGGUAAUGGCUCACCAAGGCGACGAUCUCUAGCUGGUUUGAGAGGAUGAUCAGCCACACUGGAACUGAGACACGGUCCAGACUCCUACGGGAGGCAGCAGUGGGGAAUAUUGGACAAUGGGCGCAAGCCUGAUCCAGCCAUGCCGCGUGUGUGAAGAAGGCCUUCGGGUUGUAAAGCACUUUCAGCGAGGAGGAAGGGGUAGUAGUUAAUAGCUGCUACUUUUGACGUUACUCGCAGAAGAAGCACCGGCUAACUCUGUGCCAGCAGCCGCGGUAAUACAGAGGGUGCAAGCGUUAAUCGGAAUUACUGGGCGUAAAGCGCACGUAGGCGGUUUUUUAAGUCAGAUGUGAAAGCCCCGGGCUCAACCUGGGAAUUGCAUUUGAAACUGGAAAACUAGAGUGUGUGAGAGGGGGGUAGAAUUCCAAGUGUAGCGGUGAAAUGCGUAGAGAUUUGGAGGAAUACCAGUGGCGAAGGCGGCCCCCUGGCACAACACUGACGCUCAGGUGCGGAAGCGUGGGGAGCA